rnacentral:rRNA from 1 species
CACAACCUACGGGGGGCAGCAGUGGGGGAUAUUGGACAAUGGGGGAAACCCUGAUCCAGCGACGCCGGGUGAGUGAAGAAGUAUUUCGGUAUGUAAAGCUCUGUCAGCAGGGAAGAAAGAAAUGACGGUACCUGACCAAGAAGCCCCGGCUAACUACGUGCCAGCAGCCGCGGUAAUACGUAGGGGGCAAGCGUUAUCCGGAAUUACUGGGUGUAAAGGGAGCGUAGACGGUGAUGCAAGUCUGGAGUGAAAGGCGGGGGCCCAACCCCCGGACUGCUCUGGAACCUGUAUGACUUGAGGGCAGG